UGUAGUUUCCUGCCAGCUGCCACAAGGAAACAGUGAAGGAGGGAGGAACUAAGAGGUAGAGGGCUGCAACCACUGAACAUCACUGGUUUCUACCAAAGGAUCUGAGAAGCAAUCAAGCCAGACAUCUGCUAGAAGGGCAGUAAAGAGAGCCUAGCCAGAGAUAUUAAAAGAUAUAGAGGCAAUCUCUGAGCCACAAGGAAAGGUCAUGGAACGUCCCAUGUUCCUGUAGAAUGAGAUUGGGGUAGACGGCGAAUUCUCAGUUCUGUCAAGACAAAAAAACCAUUCAUCC